UACGUAGGGGGCAAGCGUUGUUCGGAAUUACUGGGCGUAGAGGGCGCGUAGGCGGCACAGCAAGUCGGGAGUGAAAGCCCGGGGCUCAACCCCGGAACGGCUUUCGAAACUGCUGAGCUAGAGUGCGGAAGGGGCAACCGGAAUUCCCAGUGUAGCGGUGAAAUGCGUAGAUAUUGGGAAGAACACCUGAGGCGAAGGCGGGUUGCUGGGCCGACACUGACGCUGAGGCGCGAAAGCCAGGGGAGCAAACGGG
rnacentral:rRNA from 1 species